GCUGGGUAAUUUCUUGAUGCGAAUUCGCGUAUACUUCACAACAAUGUCCCAUGUGAGAGAGAGCAGAGUGAUAAUGGCACUAACCAAGAAAACAACGGAACAAACGUCAAGAAAAAAAAAUGAUGUGAUAAAAAAUUGGCACGGUUCAAGUAUUAUAUUAUAAUUGCGUACUUUUAAGGAUAGGAUCUUAUCGUUUUAAAAAGUGCACAUACUAAUUGAGAGGCUCAUUUUUUAUUGAUUUUCUUUUUGUCCAUAAUUUUUUUUUGGUUUCUUUCUUUUAUUAUAGGGGGAGGGGGCCUACAUGCAUAUUUUAAAAAUUUGUCCAAACAUGUAGCUAGGAUGGUAAGAUCUUAUCGCUGUGAGAAUAAAAGAAGUAAAUUUACAUAGAGCCAAAGGUUCUAAACAAUCAAAUUAGAGCCCACUUCAAAAAAUUC
rnacentral:lncRNA from 1 species